UACGUAGGGUGCAAGCGUUGUCCGGAAUUAUUGGGCGUAAAGAGCUCGUAGGCGGUUUGUCGCGUCUGCUGUGAAAACGCGAGGCUCAACCUCGCGCCUGCAGUGGGUACGGGCAGACUAGAGUGCGGUAGGGGAGAUUGGAAUUCCUGGUGUAGCGGUGGAAUGCGCAGAUAUCAGGAGGAACACCGAGUGGCGAAGGCAGAUCUCUGGGCCGUUACUGACGCUGAGGAGCGAAAGCGUGGGGAGCGAACAGG
rnacentral:rRNA from 1 species